ACGGAGCUUGCUCUGUGGGAUCAGUGGCGAACGGGUGAGUAACACGUGAGCAACCUGCCCCUGACUCUGGGAUAAGCGCUGGAAACGGCGUCUAAUACUGGAUAUGUGACGUGACCGCAUGGUCUGCGUCUGGAAAGAAUUUCGGUUGGGGAUGGGCUCGCGGCCUAUCAGCUUGUUGGUGAGGUAAUGGCUCACCAAGGCGUCGACGGGUAGCCGGCCUGAGAGGGUGACCGGCCACACUGGGACUGAGACACGGCCCAGACUCCUACGGGAGGCAGCAGUGGGGAAUAUUGCACAAUGGGCGCAAGCCUGAUGCAGCAACGCCGCGUGAGGGACGACGGCCUUCGGGUUGUAAACCUCUUUUAGCAGGGAAGAAGCGAAAGUGACGGUACCUGCAGAAAAAGCGCCGGCUAACUACGUGCCAGCAGCCGCGGUAAUACGUAGGGCGCAAGCGUUAUCCGGAAUUAUUGGGCGUAAAGAGCUCGUAGGCGGUUUGUCGCGUCUGCUGUGAAAUCCGGAGGCUCCACCUCCGGCCUGCAGUGGGUACGGGCAGACUAGAGUGCGGUAGGGGAGAUUGGAAUUCCUGGUGUAGCGGUGGAAUGCGCAGAUAUCAGGAGGAACACCGAUGGCGAAGGCAGAUCUCUGGGCCGUAACUGACGCUGAGGAGCGAAAGGGUGGGGAGCAAACAGGCUUAGAUACCCUGGUAGUCCACCCCGUAAACGUUGGGAACUAGUUGUGGGGUCCAUUCCACGGAUUCCGUGACGCAGCUAACGCAUUAAGUUCCCCGCCUGGGGAGUACGGCCGCAAGGCUAAAACCCAAAGGAAUUGACGGGGACCCGCACAAGCGGCGGAGCAUGCGGAUUAAUUCGAUGCAACGCGAAGAACCUUACCAAGGCUUGACAUAUACGAGAACGGGCCAGAAAUGGUCAACUCUUUGGACACUCGUAAACAGGUGGUGCAUGGUUGUCGUCAGCUCGUGUCGUGAGAUGUUGGGUUAAGUCCCGCAACGAGCGCAACCCUCGUUCUAUGUUGCCAGCACGUAAUGGUUGGGAACUCAUGGGAUACUGGCCGG
rnacentral:rRNA from 1 species